rnacentral:rRNA from 1 species
CUCCAGACUCCUACGGGAGGCAGCAGUGGGGAAUAUUGCACAAUGGGGGAAACCCUGAUGCAGCGACGCCGCGUGAGCGAUGAAGUAUUUCGGUAUGUAAAGCUCUCUCGGCAGGGAAGAAGAUGACGGUACCUGACUAAGAAGCCCCGGCUAACUACGUGCCAGCAGCCGCGGUAAUACGUAGGGGGCAAGCGUUAUCCGGAUUUACUGGGUGUAAAGGGAGCGUAGACGGCGAUGCAAGCCAGAUGUGAAAGCCCGGGGCUCAACCCCGGGACUGCAUUUGGAACUGUGUGGCUGGAGUGUCGGAGAGGCAGGCGGAAUUCCUAGUGUAGCGGUGAAAUGCGUAGAUAUUAGGAGGAACACCAGUGGCGAAGGCGGCCUGCUGGACGAUGACUGACGUUGAGGCUCGAAAGCGUGGGGAGCAAACAGGAUUAGAUACCCCUGUA